rnacentral:lncRNA from 1 species
AAUGAGAGUAAUGUAACGACCCAUGCUCGUUACAGGAUAUGAACGCGCGCAUGGCGCAUCCCGAAAAACGGACCAGUUUCCUGACUGCACCUAUAUCCAGGCAUGUGAGAAGCGGACAUCUGAACUCCAACAUCCGCCUGGAGUCUAACUUUGGCAUCCAGGGAUGAGAUGCCUGCGGCUCUACCAAGCUUCACUUCCAGGAACAACACCGUCAGACGGUUUCAAAUGAAAACAGCUGUCGGCAAGUGCAGGAGGAUUGACAACUGGAGGGCAGGUUGUCGAUGGACGAUGAGUUGAAGAUAUAUCCAAUUGUUAAUCUGCCUGGUACACCUUGGAAACCCUAUGAACUGCAUUCGACCUGUCCCUGCGUAGACGAUUCAACCAAAUGAUGCAAGAAGUGAGGCUUUCCCAAAGGACCAAAAGGACAAUCAAACUCGAUGCCCCACGUAUGAGCUGGUUACAAUGGGAGAAAGCUCCAGUUCAAUAGCGUAAGUCCGCGCCUGUAUCGCCUGUACCUUUUGCGAUGGCAUGAGCGAU